rnacentral:rRNA from 1 species
GAUGAACGCUGGCGGCGUGCCUAAUACAUGCAAGUCGAGCGAACGGACGAGAAGCUUGCUUCUCUGAUGUUAGCGGCGGACGGGUGAGUAACACGUGGAUAACCUACCUAUAAGACUGGGAUAACUUCGGGAAACCGUAGCUAAUACCGGAUAAUAUUUUGAACCGCAUGGUUCAAAAGUGAAAGACGGUCUUGCUGUCACUUAUAGAUGGAUCCGCGCUGCAUUAGCUAGUUGCUAAGGUAACGGCUUACCAAGGCAACGAUGCAUAGCCGAACUGAGAGGAUGAUCGGCCACACUGGAACUGAGACACGGUCCAGACUCCUACGGGAGGCAGCAGUAGGGAAUCUUCCACAAUGGGCGAAAGCCUGACGGAGCAACGCCGCGUGAGUGAUGAAGGUCUUCGGAUCGUAAAACUCUGUUAGUAGGGAAGAACAUAUGUGUAAGUAACUGUGCACAUCUUGACGGUACCUAAUCAGAAAGCCACGGCUAACUACGUG